AACGUAGGAGGCAAGCGUUAUCCGGAGUUACUGGGCGUAAAGCGCGUGUAGGCGGCCCGGUAAGUCCGCUGUGAAAGUCGGGGGCUCAACCCUCGAAUGCCGGUGGAUACUGUCGGGCUAGAGUACGGAAGAGGCGAGUGGAAUUCCUGGUGUAGCGGUGAAAUGCGCAGAUAUCAGGAGGAACACCAAUUGCGAAGGCAGCUCGCUGGGACGUUACUGACGCUGAGACGCGAAAGCGUGGGGAGCAAACAGG
rnacentral:rRNA from 1 species